rnacentral:rRNA from 1 species
CAGGAUGAACGCUAGCGGCAGGCUUAACACAUGCAAGUCGAGGGGCAUCGGGAGUAGCAAUACUUGCCGGCGACCGGCGCAAGGGUGCGUAACGCGUGAGCAACAUGCCCGUAUCAGGGGGAUAAUCCAUGGAAACGUGGUCUAAUACCCCAUAGUAAUUAUGUAAGGCAUCUUAUAUAAUUUAAAGCUUUGGUGGAUACGGAUUGGCUCGCGUGACAUUAGCUAGAUGGUAAGGUAACGGCUUACCAUGGCUACGAUGUCUAGGGGUUCUGAGAGGAAGGUCCCCCACACUGGAACUGAGACACGGUCCAGACUCCUACGGGAGGCAGCAGUGAGGAGUAUUGGACAAUGGAUGGAAAUCUGAUCCAGCCAUGCCGCGUGCAGGAAAGACGGCCCUAUGGGUUGUAAACUGCUUUUGUAUGGGAGCAAUAAGGGCUACGCGUAGUCCGAUGAGAGUACCAUACGAAUAAGCACCGGCUAACUCCGUGCCAGCCGCUGC